rnacentral:lncRNA from 1 species
CGUUUUAUUCCAGACAACUUAUUGUAAUCUAAGUUAUGGUUCCACUGCGGGAUAUAAAAAUAACACCUAAGGAAUACGUAAUCUAAUAAAUUAUAUUUCUUAUCUCUAAAUAAAAUUGAUGGAAUAGUAAAACUAAAGGAAAGCUGGAAUUUAAAAUGUUUUCGUUACAUUACACCGGAUUUAAUUUAAUUUCAAAUAUCUUGGCAUCACGAUUGCAUCUCAUCGCCGCCAACCAACGGCUCGUUCAAUCUGUGAGGAGGAGGAAAAAGGGAUGAGUAUAUGAGAAUACUCAGUAGGACACGAUUAAUGGUGCGACCCCGAAUAAAAUAUUAAUUCAUGUAUCAAAAUAAUCAUACCGUUAUAUCAUAACUUUAGAUUCUGAUAAGAGAGCAUAUUUUAUCAUAUCUUUGGUACCGGAUGACCAUUUCAUAGCAUAUCAUCAUCAUAUCAUAUCAUAUCACAACUUUCAUGAGUAUAAUAUUUAUCAACAUGAAGAAAUAAAUUAAACGGGACUAACCACUUGUACCUCAUAGUCCUACCUUGAUUGAUGAAAAGAGUUUUUUGGAAGAAAAGAAAUAAUUUUCACGUUUCACAAUCUUAUUCUCUAAUAUAUAUAUUAUGUGGGCAGUUAUCAUUCCUUAAAUCUUGGGAGUUGUGUACGUGUAAUCUGUGAAAGCUGCUCACAAAAUCUCCUAUCAUACACUAUAUUCACAUGUUUUCCAAAUAUUUUGCCCAAGUCUCCAACUAUUACCAUUAUAUAUAUAUAUAUAUAUACACACACACACACACACACACAUACACACACACACACACGUGUUUUUCGAGAAUUCGGCCAAAAUCACUAAUUGCAACCCAUUUAAUUAUCAAUCAUUCUAUAAGUAUAUCAAUUUUCACACCUUUUUUCACAGUACACACACGCAAGUGGGUGGGGUCCAUGAUUAAAAUAAUAUGGACCCCACAUUUUUGAGGAGGUAUGAAAAUUGCUGUAAAAAAAUAUGCUGUACAAACAGCAUUUUUGUUUUAUUAUAUACACACACGUGGCCAACAUAUGAAAUUCAAAUAAGAAUCUAAACUAAUUUAAUAAACCAUGAAUUCUUUAAAUUUCAAUAUCUUGGGCUUAACUUAUUCAAAUCAACAUUUUCUCAAGCCUAACAUACGUAAUUAAUUAUGAGCUAUCCAACGAGCCCAAUAUUAAUAUAUAAAAUCCCAUUCUGUAGAUACUUAAUUAUUUGGCCCAACUAGAAUAUGAAUUUAAAACAUAUUUCAUUUUGCUCCCUCAAUCUACAAAAUAUAAAAUAAAUCGAAUACAUUUUUAUUCUAAAAUUUUCGGGGCGUUAUAGCACUCAUUCCGAUAAUGGCUAAAGCCUUAGCACUUAUGACAUCUCACAGAUUGAGAUCUCUUUCUAAACUCACUAGGAGCACCUCUAUGUCUCUUUUGAGGGUUCUUCUUAUUUCUAAAUAUUUUUCAAUUUUUUUUAGCAAAAUAAGCUACCACUUCAUCAUUAAGUGACUUCGAAUCAAAAGACUGAUUGAAGUUAUCCCUAAUAGUGUUCAAGGCCAGAGACUUGUCUUUUAGGUUUAGCUAAUGUUAGGACAUAAGUCUGAAAAGAUCCAACCAACUCUCAUCUUAAUAGCAUCUAUGUCCUUAUUCUCCUCUACAGCCAUAAUUUUAGGCUUGAAUCUUUGAGGUAAGGAUCUAAGGAUUUUCUGACAAUCCUAGGCUCGGGAAUUUUCUCGCCUAGAUUGAAGCUAGAGUUAACUAUGUCAUUCAAGCUCACAUAAAAGUCAUAAAUGUUCUCAUCCUCCUUCAUCAUAAUCUCUUCAAAUCUAAUGGCCAACAUCUGUAUUUUAGAGUUCUUAACUACCUGAGUUCCCUCAUGUGUGAUCUAUAAAAUAUCACAAACCUCUUUAACAACCUCACAUAUAGAUACUCGCCUAAAUUUUUUAGGGGACACAGCCAUAAAUAAAGUCUAUAGGUGUUAAGUUGUGUGCCCAUAUAGUAUAUUUUGUUACGAUAAAAUAAUUAUUUGUAAUAAAUAAAUUGUGGUUUUAGUUAUUUAUUACAUUAUUUGUUAUUAAGCAUGAGAGCUAAAGUGCCUAUGACUCACUUGAAAUAAUAUAAGUUGGGUACUUACGUUAAGAAGUACAGUGUGACAUAACUUAUAUUUUGAUCAUAAAUAAUUUGUUCACAGUCAAUGU